GGCCCCGUAGUUCAACGGAUAGAAUAGAAGUUUCCUAAACUUUAGAUAUGGGUUCGAUUCCCGUCGGGGUCA
rnacentral:tRNA from 1 species